rnacentral:rRNA from 1 species
CACGUAGGGGGCAAGCGUUGUCCGGAUUUAUUGGGCGUAAAGAGCUCGUAGGUGGUUCGCUAAGUCGGGUGUGAAACCUCCAGGCUCAACCUGGAGACGCCACCUGAUACUGGUGUGACUCGAGUCCGGUAGGGGAGCGUGGAAUUCCUGGUGUAGCGGUGAAAUGCGCAGAUAUCAGGAGGAACACCAGCGGCGAAGGCGGCGCUCUGGGCCGGAACUGACGCUGAGGAGCGAAAGCGUGGGUAGCAAACAGG